rnacentral:rRNA from 1 species
CNNNAGNNGGCNGGCUACACAUGCAGUCGAGCGGUAGCAACAGAGAGCUUGCUCUCGGGUGACGAGCGGCGGACGGGUGAGUAAUGUCUGGGAAACUGCCUGAUGGAGGGGGAUAACUACUGGAAACGGUAGCUAAUACCGCAUAACGUCGCAAGACCAAAGUGGGGGACCUUCGGGCCUCAUGCCAUCAGAUGUGCCCAGAUGGGAUUAGCUAGUAGGUGGGGUAACGGCUCACCUAGGCGACGAUCCCUAGCUGGUCUGAGAGGAUGACCAGCCACACUGGAACUGAGACACGGUCCAGACUCCUACGGGAGGCAGCAGUGGGGAAUAUUGCACAAUGGGCGCAAGCCUGAUGCAGCCAUGCCGCGUGUGUGAAGAAGGCCUUCGGGUUGUAAAGCACUUUCAGCGGGGAGGAAGGCGUUGAGGUUAAUAACCUUGUCGAUUGACGUUACCCGCAGAAGAAGCACCGGCUAACUCCGUGCCAGCAGCCGCGGUAAUACGGAGGGUGCAAGCGUUAAUCGGAAUUACUGGGCGUAAAGCGCACGCAGGCGGUCUGUCAAGUCGGAUGUGAAAUCCCCGGGCUCAACCUGGGAACUGCAUUCGAAACUGGCAGGCUAGAGUCUUGUAGAGGGGGGUAGAAUUCCAGGUGUAGCGGUGAAAUGCGUAGAGAUCUGGAGGAAUACCGGUGGCGAAGGCGGCCCCCUGGACAAAGACUGACGCUCAGGUGCGAAAGCGUGGGGAGCAAACAGGAUUAGAUACCCUGGUAGUCCACGCCGUAAACGAUGUCGAUUUGGAGGUUGUGCCCUUGAGGCGUGGCUUCCGGAGCUAACGCGUUAAAUCGACCGCCUGGGGAGUACGGCCGCAAGGUUAAAACUCAAAUGAAUUGACGGGGGCCCGCACAAGCGGUGGAGCAUGUGGUUUAAUUCGAUGCAACGCGAAGAACCUUACCU